CUGGUUUAGGCUUAAGAUGUUGAAGACAUGUUACACAACGACCACAAAUUCUGAUAAGACUUUUGGAAAAUGAGGAACAACCAAGGAACAGUAUAGUCACUGUUUUACUCAAAAAUGGUUGUCGAGUUAAUGUUUGCCACAUCUGGCACGUUUGAUUCGGGCCGGAAUUGGGCAGUGAGUACCUACACAGGCAUCCUGCCCAAGUGCAGCAGAUGGAGCCGAGCUGAGGGAACCAGGUCCCUCCUCCAGGACUAAUGAGCAGCAGCAUCAUGUUUGGGGUUGUUAGCUGUUCCUCACCUCACUGGACAGCUACAGUCAGAUCAUGUUGGUUAGUUGGUUUGAUGAGAUCUGGGUGGGCUUCUCAGAUCAAAAACCUCCUGCAUAACAUUCUUCUUCAUUUUUGUUUUAUUUACUUAGAAUUGUAUACCUCAAUGCACAAAUUUAUUGAAAUGAUAAUUUUACAUUUGAUGCAUAUUAAAAAUGGAUAUUUAUG
ensembl:lncRNA